UCGGACAUGGUGUAGGGUACACGGCCUCCCAAUAUAUCAUCACUGGUACACAAGAUUGUUGGAGGCAGAGCGGGGUUCGACUCCCUGUGUCCGAA